rnacentral:rRNA from 1 species
GACGAACGCUGGCGGCGUGCUUAACACAUGCAAGUCGAACGGAAAGGCCCUGCUUUUGUUGGGUGCUCGAGUGGCGAACUUGUGAGUAACACGUGAGUAACCUGCCCUUGACUUUGGGAUAACUUCAGGAAACUUGGUCUAAUACCGGAUAGGAUCUCCUGCUUCAUGGUGGGGGUUGGAAAGUUUCGGCGGUUGGGGAUGGACUCGCGGCUUAUCAGCUUGUUGGUGGGGUAGUGGCUUACCAAGGCUUUGACGGGUAGCCGGCCUGAGAGGGUGACCGGCGACAUUGGGACUGAGAGAGGGCACAGAAUGCAACGGGAGGCAGCAGGGGGGAAUAUUGCAAAAUGGGAGGAAGCGUGAUGAAGAAAAGCAGCGUGCGGGAUGACGGCCUUCGGGUUGUAAACCGAUUUAGACUGUGACGAAGAGUGAGUGACGGUAAUGGGUAAAGAAGCACCGGCUAACUACGUG